AUCUACAAGCCAGGAAGUGGGCUUUCAUCAGGAACUGAAUCUGUAAGCACCUUGAUCUUGGACUACCCAGUCUCCAGAACUGAGAACAAAAGAAAAAGUGUUGGCAUUUGUAGUUUGGCUUAAGUUCCAGGAACCAGAAACUGAAGGUGAACUCUGAUUCUUUCCUGGCUUUUCUGCGUUGUUUGGAGUAAAAAUGGACUAAAUACCAUGAGUAAUAUGGAAGUUCUCUGAAGGACUCAAACUGAGACAUCGGCUCUUCCUGGGUCUUGAGCUUGUCAACAUUUAGACUGGAACUUCCGCCAUCAGCUCUCCUGGUUCUCAGGCCUUCAGACUCAGACUCAGACUGAAACUGCUGACUCACCCUGCAGACCGUGGAUGAUUUGCCAGCUCCAUAAUCACAUGAGCCAAUUCCUUUAUAUAUAUGUGUAUAUUUUCUCAUCCUAUGGGUUCUGUUUCCUCGGAGAACCCUAUAUAACACAAUAAGUAAAGCCACACCACUUUUGCAAGACAAUGGAAAGUGUGGUCUGCCAAAAUUAGAAAGAGGAAAGAUGUGUGUGGAAAACUUCAAGAUAUAGUAGAUUCGAUAGAGCAGAAGAUGAAGUGUUAACAAGAAGGGCUUGACUGGCAAUGCAAUUAACAUACCCUACGCCUAAGGUAAUCACACUCUCACUUGUCAGUGUUGUCACUCUUUCCACUGAGCCCAAAUUUGAAUGAGAAUUUCAUCUCAGUACUGUAUCCCCAGGGACUCAUUUCGCAUAGGUGCACUAGAUUCAACAUUGUAAAAUGAGCUGGGGAUCUGGCUGAAAUGCAGAUUCCGAUCCAGUAGGCCCAGGGCGGAUGGAGCCUGAGUUCUGCAUUUCCAAGUGGUGCAAACGCUGCUUGAGGACUCCACUUUGAGGUGGGGAACAUCCCUUGUUUAGUUAAUGCUGCUUGAACUAAGGAGUAACUGAAGAAACACUACCUAGCCUCUGAAGAAAUAAGGCCUGGCCUGGGGGGCGGGGGAGAGGGGGGAGAGUACAGUACAUUCUGGAAUUGUUUUUGAAUGGUUCUAUGUGUAUUGUCCUGUGAAUGGGUUACCAAGAAUUUACAAAAUCAUAGAACAAAAGUUAAGAGGACCUCAGUAGUCAUCCAGACAAUGUCAUUUGAGGUAAGCUACAAUUUGAACAGCCGUUUUGCUCAUAUUAAAAGAAAUAGCAUUUUAAAAAAUUUGAACGCUGAGACACAUUUGAUGUAAUUAUUUAUAAAAUGCUAAUAUUAGUUGUAAUUAGCCUAGGAAAAAGCUUGAUAGGAAAGAGAUCAGGGGAUUUAGGUGAUUCACCCAGAACCUCUCAAUUAGAUUUUCUCCAGGGCAAGGUUAGCAUAGAGAUGGAAAUUCCAAGGAAACUAAGUGGCAAGCCUUUUGAAAUCAAGAGCUGCGGCUCUCUUGUCAAGACACUGGGUAGAAAAGAGUAAAGCACAAGUGCAUGAUACAUCCAGUAGGGAUUGUCUAUUUGGAAAUAAAUAAAAGGAAUAAAUAAUCUGUCAUUGCCCGUAACAUUUCCAGAAAAAGGAUAUUAUAAGAAAGAAGGUGAAAAUUAAAUACAAAGAAAUAAAAAUGAGGCAAAAAUCCAAUGUAUGCUCACAUGAAAAUAUUCAGAACAUUGUGAUAUAUAUACUGUGACACUCAAAAGAAAUGGAGGCCAAGAAUAAUUUGGACAAUUAAUAGGAGUUUCCAGUAAAUAAGGCACACAUAUGCAUGUACACAGACAUGUGCUCACCUCACUCCCCUAUAUAUUUAUGAAUUUUGUUGUUGUAGUUCAGGGUUGAGCUAUGCUAAACAAGGGAUGAUAAAGUACAAUUAAUUGUGCCUGUGCUUGUGCUGUGAGUUGUUUCAAGUGAUGGGUUUAAUGGAAAGAAUUAACAGGAAGUUAACUUGAAUUUCCAUGUUAACACUUACUAGAUUGGAGGCAUUCUGUCUGGAUUUAGUUAAAAUACCCUUUCCUACAAACUUCUGAACAUUUGAAAUAUACCAAACACUGUGCUGGCUGCUUCAGAAACAACCUAUCAAAGAGAAGGACUCAAUCCUAUUUAAUUAUUUAAGAGCUCUGACUUAGAUUUCAGACCUGGGUUCACCUAUAUAGGAUACAUCACCUACUUGCUGUAUGACCUUGAGAGACUUAUUUAAUCUUCCUAAGUUUUGGUAUAAUAGAAUGGGAUUAAUAACAGUGUCUACCAUUGUAAUGCAAGCAACAGAAACUGACUAACUUAAAGAAGAGUGGGAUUUAGUGGGAGAAAGUGGGGUAGCUCCCAAUACCUAAGAAAUGGAAGCACAAACAAACCUCCAAAGACACAGAAGCAGAACAGUGACAGAGAUCUAGGUGAAGACACAGGGACAAUCUCUUUGGGGAGCUGUACCCAAAAGAAUCAGCUCCAACUAUGUUCUGUCCUUGGGCCAGAUUUCUAGGAUUUCUAGCUGAUUGGUCUUGCCAAGUGAGAGUAGGGAAGGGGAGAAGUGCCAAACCACCCCUUUGCACUUAGAGCCAUCGUUUGAUGGUCCCACCAGAAUGGUACAUGACUGGGAUGGGCAGAUUUCCCCCAAAAUCAGUGACGUGCUAUCAAACAAUUGGAAAAGGAUGCUGGACUGGCAAAAACAACAGCUGUUUACCACCGGUACUUUUUUUUAUUAAAGGAUAACAAAAAAGUGUUCUUUCUAUGUUAGUUUACUGAUCCAAUGCUGCUGACAUCUUUCUGCACACCUACAUCAGGGGCUCAAAUAUUAACCAUUUUCAAUUAAAGGCCAGGACACAUUUUAUUAUACAAACAUUAGUGACAAUUUUAGAAGUCUUAGCUGUUCAUUCUAAGUCAUUUUGCAGUUUCACAGGGAUGUAGAAAGGCAGCUAAUUUUAAGUAGAUGCUUCCUUGCUGAUCAUUUCAUUUGCUAGAAUGAUCACAUUAAAAUCUUUUUUGGGGGGUAUGUAAAAAGCAUACACUUUGUAUCAUGAAAUUUGUGGAAAAAACAAACAUUAAACAUUAAGAACAUGCACUUAAUGUUCUUUUUUACCUCAUAAAAUGUAAGAAUUUUUUUUUUUUUUACGUAGUGGGAUGUUGAAGCUAUUCAAUUUUCACUUGAAAUCACUAAUGAUCCAUUAUAAUUUGAACUGUAAUCUGGGUUUGGCUUGUUGUAUUUUCUCCUUGGUAUUCAUUGAUGUGGAAAAGGGGUAAAGAAGAUGUCAGGUGUUAAAUAUAAUUAAUGUUAAAAACAGAUCUGAUGAAUCAGGGUGUUAUUUCUGAAGAGAAUGACUCAACAGAGGCUUGCCGGUCACAAUUACUAAAAAUUAGUCAUUCUGUGAGAUGCUUUUGCUGAUACUAAUAGAUAAAACACCUUUGAGGGAAACCCUUUUGAAAGUGUUACAAUACGACCUCAGAAAAACAUGCCUUUCCAGAUACAAAACUAGUUAUCAAUUCAUCCAAGAAGAUGUGAGCAAAGCUUUCUUAGAAAUUAAGUAUCACUGAAAAGUUCAUUUAUGAGCAGACUUUGUCCCCUAGCUAGGUUCUGAGUAAGCGAUUUUUGCUCUGUACUUGGCAGUCCAUAAUGUUACUAAAGACGAAGGA